CCUUCUCAACAUCACCAUCCUCGCCGACCUCCGGUGUGGCAGGGUCGUUGCCGCAGUUGACACGAACCUUUUGUGCCUUUGCUCGGGCUUCUUCAUAAGCAGCCUCAGAAACAUUGCCUGACUCCAACAAUCCCUUGUUUAUAUCUCGUUGGGUCUCGGCAUGGAUCCACAUCUCAUGCAAGUGACGAGGAGCAGUAGUAGAGGCAGAUUCAACUUGACCUAACAACUACGCUUUUUCAGCAUCGAGCGCCAAGACCCGGUCCCCUAGUCUUGAAGUCUCCCUAUCAUGCUUGUCAAUGCGCUCCUCUAGUCGUGCCUCCCCUGGCGUGGCCAUGGCUCUAUCAUAUUCCCUCUUAAAUUCGAUGAUGCAGAUAGUAUCCUCUGGCGCCAUUUCUCUUGUCAAAGACGACGCCCAAGCGUACUUGACAUUCUUCAUCUCGGUCACUUUUCUGUCCAGCUCGGCCAACUUCCCCCUCCAUUAUGCACUCAAAGUUUCGACUCUAGAGGCAUUCUGCUCAUGUUCGGCUUGCAAUUACGACAACUUUGCCUGAAGAUACUCACAUUCCGCAAUAACCCCCUUUCCUAACUCAAGUUCCUCGUCUUUUGCAUGGUGCAACUCCUCAGCUCACUGCAUCAAUGGAUGGACUACAUCAAUUCCUGGUCUCUUCUCUCCAACUCCUCACGCAGGGAUUGGGCGCCGGUACCCUCCCUGAGCUGCUCAUGCAUCUCACGAAAUUUGUUGUGAA
rnacentral:lncRNA from 1 species